UUAUGUAUCACCUGUCAAUCUUGUUAAAAUGCAAGUUCUGAUUUAGCAGACCUAGGACAAGUCCUGAGACUCUUAAUUUUUCACAAGACCCCAAGUGAUAUCAGU
rnacentral:miRNA from 1 species